GGACGAACGUUGGCGGCGUGCUUAAUACAUGCAAGUCAACUGAAGCACCGGUAGUAAUACUGGUGUGGAGGUGGCGCACGGGUGAGUAACACGUAGGUAAUCUGCCUUCAGGUCUGACAUAACCCCGAGAAAUCGGGGCUAAUAGCAGAUGAUGCAGCGGCUUGACAUCAAGACAGUUGUUAAAGCUUCGGCGCCUGAAGAUGAGCCUGCGUCCGAUUAGCUAGUUGGCGGAGUAAUAGCCCACCAAGGCGACGAUCAGUAGCUGGUCUGAGAGGAUGAUCGGCCACACUGGAACUGAGACACGGUCCAGACUCCUACGGGAGGCAGCAGUAAGGAAUAUUGCUCAAUGGGAGAAAUCCUGAAGCAGCAACGCCGCGUGAGGGAUGAAGGGCUUUUGCUCGUAAACCUCUGUAGUGAGGGAAAAAAUUUCCAUUCUAUGGAAUAUGAUGGUACCUCAAAAGUAAGCCCCGGCUAACUACGUG
rnacentral:rRNA from 1 species